ACAUGCUGGCCGUUCCAUUACUUUGGGCUUUCUGUGUACGAGAGGUUCGGUUCGCGCCUGUCGUGGCGACUCACAGCAGUUGGGGGAGAAUUUGUUGCUAAAACACUUAUUUCUGUUGGUUGCAAACGAACGAGCGUGAUGAGUAAAAAGGAGGAAGAUGAUAUUGUCCGAAUUGCGAAAAAGAUAGACAAAAUGGUGUCGAAAAAGAACACGGUUGGUGCCUUGGACUUGCUGAAAGAGCUAAAGAGCAUUCCUAUGACCUUGGAACUUUUACAGUCUACCAGAAUUGGGAUGUCUGUAAAUGCUAUCAGGAAGCAAAGUAAAGAAGAAGAUGUCAUAUCUUUGGCAAAAUCUCUCAUUAAAUCCUGGAAGAAACUCUUAGAUGGACCAGCAGUUGAGAAAUCCUCAGAAGAGAAAAAAAAGGAUUCAGUUUCCUUGGCACAAAACAGCCCAGAAGCAAAAGAGGAAAGUUCGGGAAGCAUUUCUAGUAACUCCCAUGAAUCACUCUAUACUCAAUCACCUUUUCAACUCAAAAGUUAUCCUCAGGCUCCCUUCACCACCGACUCAGUACGGAUCAAGUGCAGAGAAAUGUUAACUGCUGCAAUGAAAACAGAUGGUGAUUACAUAGCUAUUGGCUCAGACUGUGAAGAGCUUGGAGCUCAAAUUGAGGAAUGUGUGUAUCAAGAAUUUAAAAACACAGAUAUGAAAUAUAAAAACAGAGUGAGGAGCAGAAUUGCAAAUUUAAAAGAUUCAAAGAACCCCAAUCUGAGGAAGAAUGUCCUAUGUGGGAAUAUUGCACCAGAUAGACUGGCAAAAAUGACUGCAGAGGUAGUGACCAAAACUGCACACAGUACUCCAAGCAACACACACAAAAUGCUGGAGGAACUCAGUAGGCCAGGCAGCAUCUAUGGAAAGAAGUACAGUCGACAUUUCGAGCCAAGACCCUUCAGCAGGACAGAAGAAAAAAAGAUGAGUAGAGGAGGCCAUGGAUUGACAUCGGAAUGGGAAUGAGAAGUGGAAUUAAAAUGGGUGGCCACUGGAAGAUCCCACUUCUUCUGGCGGAUGGAGCUUAGGUGCUCGGCAAAGCAGUCUCCCAAUCUACAUCGGGUCUCACCAGUAUACAGGAAGCCACACUGGGAGCACCAGACCCCAACAGACUCACAGGAAGCUACCAGGAAAGUUGGUGAAAGAAGCCAAUGGAUGUUUUCUCAUGGACUUUAAGAAGGCCUUUGACAAGGUCUCACAUGAGAGGAAAUGGCAAGUGAUGAACUUAAAGAAAUGCGCAAGGCUUUAACCAAAGAAGCCAUUCGAGAACAUCAAAUGGCUAAGACUGGUGGUACUGAAACUGACUUAUUCAAGUGUGGCAAGUGCAAGAUGAAGAAUUGCACCU